ensembl:lncRNA
GGAGAUGUCACCGCUGAAGUACUCCUGAAGUUAUCCACUAGGAACAGAUGACUGGGAGCUGACAUCGGGCCGGAAUGUAAUCAUAGAAGUUAACGCAGCUCUUCAGAUUGUUCUUCUUUCUAGUGGCAGAGUACUGGAACAUGCUGCCUAGAUUGAUUGAGGAGAUUCCUUGUCUGGAGAUAUUCAAGACCUGUCUGGAUGCCUACCUGUGCAGCGUGCUGUAGGGACCGUGCUUUAGCAAAGAGGUUGAACUCAAUGGUCUCUAGAGGUCCCUUCCAACCCCUACAAUUCUACGUGAUGCUGAACUUCUAGUAACUUAGUCAUCAUCGGUAGCUAUCUCAAGCCUAAGAGGAAGUGGUUGAGAGGAGAUAUUCUUUCUCUACUGAUCUCAAAAGAAAAGACCAUGAAUAAUUUUACAAGCUUCUAAUAGUUUGGACCGCAAAAACACAUACAGUGGAAAACAGUU